GAAACAGUUGCAGUGAUUUGUAAAGUGUGAUUAAACCUCGACUAUUGAAAACUAUACCCUUGUGUCCUGUGAAAACGUCGACGUAUAGGUUAGGUUCAUCAAAACAUUUGAGAAUCUCAGGAAUACAGACUUAGUGCGUUGAUAUCUAGUGUUUCUUGAGGAGAUCUUGGAAGAUAUUUCUCUGAUAGUCACUCGAAAGAUAACUAGCUCUAGUACAUGUUACAUACACCUGUGGUAUUCAAUAUUUCAUAAGUGAUAUACACCAUCCAAAGCUACCUGUUUCCUAGUUGAAUUUCAUUGAAAGAUACAUAUAUCAAACAGCGGUAUUUGAGUUAAAAAUUGGUGUCACAGAGAAAUAAAUUGUUGGAGCUCUCAGUGUUUGUCUCUGAGUGAACUACAACUGUAAUCUUUCAGUCUUGAAACUACUUGGUGCUAAAAAUAAGAAAAUUGUAGAGAGGUGUGAAAUCGAGUGUUUACCACAUGCUUAAUCCUCAACACCGUAAGAUGUUGAUGUUUUCUUCGUGUGACGGAAGAAUCUUGAAGCGGUCAUGUAGAUCGUAGGGUUUCCCUCACUGAAGAUCUAUUUCCUAUGCACCGUCUGUUGUUUUCAUCCUGUUAGGACAGACUAAUUGUGUUUAGGUGGCAUUUAAAUCGAGUUUGCAACGACUCCACCCUCUUUUAACACGUGAUAAUUAUGUGGUGACGUUUGGGGCUUCAGAAAUAGCCCCUAGGGGACGAAUCAGUCUCGAAUGGUAACCCAGCCGGGUAGUACCCUCUCGAACCUCAACCUAGGUAGACCUAGCCCUAUGUCACGGGUUAGGUGACAUCUAGUUAAACUCCCCUAGUGUCGCACCCGGAUUCUAGAAACUCUACUCGACGUUUUAUCGGGUUUUCAAUUUGUGAAAAUUACGAGAACCUGAUUAGGCGGCCGAACUACUAAAGCAAUGAUAAGUGUAACUAUUCCAUCCUUUGAAUCAGGUGUUAUUUUAGUUGUCUAAGACCACUGCCCAAGUUUUUUUCUAAGCAAUACCUAGUUUACCUAAUAAAAAGCUGUGAUUGAGCUAUCGAAGAGUGUAAAGUGAAUAAUUCAAUAAUAUUCCAUCGAUAACAUUGGUGUUACAUAACAGUAUCACGAGUUAUCUUGAAAUUACCAAUCGACAAUAACAAAUUUCACUGUUCAGUGAAAUAAAAACAAACUUUGAUGCUGUAAAUUGAUCUCCAAAAUAUUUUCCGUGAAACGUCAUCUACAGAAAUCCAUCGAAGUUGGGUUACUAAUAUUAUCGCAAUAUACCAUUAAAGUGAAUAUCUCCAAUUUUUAACUCAACAACUAUUCCACUCGAUCUCAGAGAAUAUUAAUAGAGAGACUUCACUAGGAAUAAUAACAUAGAGUGAGUCUUACACUAUUCUAAGAAGAUUUCACCAAAAAUCUUGACAAAAGUUGAAAUUACCCUUGUAAGUCUUACAUUUGAAAAUAAAUCUACAUACCUACAACUAUCAACAACACUAUAAUAUAAUUUAUGAAUUAUCAACAAUAUUCUCCAAAUCAAGUCAGUUUGGUGACAAUACCUUCUAGUUCGAAUCACAAGGUUUGUGAGAGCAUUUGAAAUCGAGUCACUAAUAUUCUGAAGAUAUUUAUUGGAAUCUGUGACGAUAUUCGAAACCAAGUCACUAUUUUUUGGGGAAAUUGUAACUUGUUCAGUUGAAUUUGAAUUUGGCGCCAAAAUGGUACCGAGACUAGUGUUGGCCGCCGGUCAGCUGAUGCUGGCUACGCUAUCAGUUGCCAUGGCAACGACGACUGACUCCUGUUCGACAGACUGGAUCCGACAGUCGCUGGACAACGGCGAGACCAGUGUAGCGGCCGACAGCUACACGACCGCCUUCAUCAACGUCACGUUCCGGGACCCGUCUACGGGCCGCUGGCACUCGGAGACCGACGAGAUCGGCAAGUUCGGCGGCUAUCACGUGGGUCCCGCGGCGGGAGUGCUAGUCCACGUGAUUGACGCGGGCGGAGAGCUGAAUACCGCGUGUACGCUGCCGCUGAGACGCGGUCCCGCGCCUGGCUUCAACAUCCCCGCCGAGCCGUGGAUCGCCCUCGUGAAGCGCGGCGGAUGCAACUUCCAGGUGAAGGUCGACCAUGCCCUCAGGUACAACGCGUCGGGGGUGAUCGUCUACAACGACCGCGACAAGGCCUCGCUGGAGAAAAUGAAGCUGGCGCCCAAUGGAAACCAUAACAUCAGUGCAGUUUUCACGUAUAAAUGGGUCGGCGAAGAGUUAGUAAGACUAAUGGAGAAUGGUACCAGAGUCUACGCUCAUAUCUCCAUCGCCAGCCGGUGUACAAAACCUUUCAACUCAAUUAACAGCUUAUCUUCUUUCGGGAACCCUGGACCAAUGAUAAUCGCUCUCUGCGGUACCAAGAUGCCUCUCCACAAAUGUGCUAUGUUGACGUCUGUGAUGCUAGUCAGCAUUUCGUUCAUAGUGCUGAUGAUCAUCUCAAUGUGCUGGUUGGUGUUCUACUAUGUGCAGAGGUUUAGAUACAUUCAUGCCAAAGAUAGACUAUCGCGGAGACUCUGUACUGCAGCGAAGAAAGCUUUGUCCAAAAUCCCAACAAAGCACAUAAAAUCUGAAGAUAAGGAAAUACAGGGGGAGGGAGAGUGCUGUGCCAUCUGUAUAGAGCCUUACAAAACAUCAGAAGUCGUAAGGAUAUUACCUUGCAAGCAUGAGUUCCAUAGAUCGUGUAUAGAUCCAUGGCUGUUGGAGCAUAGGACUUGUCCUAUGUGCAAGAUGGAUAUUCUCAAGCACUAUGGCUUUGUUUUCACAGGCAGCCAGGAGAGCAUCCUUUUAAUAUGUUGCGAUUGUUGUCUCAGUUCACAGGCAGCCAGGAGAGCAUCCUUCACAUGGACAUAGAGGAGGCGGUGAGUGACUCAGAGAGCAUGCACCAGCGCAGCCUGAGCAGCCCAGUGCCCCACUUGCUGCAGGGCGGCCUCACUGUUGCCCUCGGGCCACGCUCGCUCACGCCAGACCUGCUCAGUCACGUCAGUCGUGCAUCCACGCCCGACGAGUAUUCGCCUGCGCUGCCUGGGCCCAGUUAUGAAUUCCCCACUGAAAACCAGGCAUGUCUACCAGAGAGCGGCAUGCACCUGACUACCAGCAAGAGCGAGUUUCUACCACCAAAACCUAACUCACAGAUCCGGCGAUCGAUUUCUUUGGACAACUGCGAUUUGCCUGCUGCCAACAACGGCCAAUAACAUCAGAUUGAAAGGCACAGGAGGUUUAUUCGAAAAUUCUUCUCCGGCCUUCAACCGCUCCCAACCUCUGAGCAAACCUUGCGGAAUAGUCAGACGUAUUUCUUCUGAAACACAACCGUGGAAAUUGUAACGGUUUGUGGAUAGUCAACGACAUCUCAAACUCAACAGUUUGUGGAUGAUCAAUGACAUUUCGCCUGCUCAAUAACUAUAUUAUCAGCAAUAUGUAGAGUGUGUUUUGCUCAACUCAAUAAACAGUAAUCAAGCCUCUUGUUGAGAAUCAUUAACAUAUAUGGAAUUUGUUGGUGGAGAACACAAAAGUUGUUCCACCUUGCCAUAAGAAGUGUGAAGAAUGAAACUGAGGGUUAGGUUGGGUAAUUUGUUGAAAAUGAUUGGUUAAUUUAUUAUACCAUCCUCAUUUUCAUCGAGGAGUGGUUGAGCUUAUUCCUACCUCAUUGGCGAAUUUCAUGCUCCGUUUGACCAGGACCUCUAAUAUACUACCAAAUAUAAAGGAAGUCCUAGUUUGACCCAACCAAUUGCAUUGAGCAUGCUUUUUGAGGUCAGGUUGGGUUAGGGCAGUCCGAUCUGUUGUGAUUUGAAUAUAGCAGGUUGAAGCUCCACUCCUAUUUCGUGAGAUUGAAAUAACCCGGCACUUUCAUAAGCUUAUUCCCAUUUUUGAGGAAAGUUACCUGUGAGAGGGUACAGUACUUUAUCCUGAACCAUUUACUGGGAAUGCAACUUAAGUUUCGGGGCUAGCUCACUCCAAAUAGUUAAAAAUUCUGAAUGAAAUUUGAAAGUUGAGAGUUCUGGAAGUUGAGAAUUCUGCUGUGAGCCUCAUUUUGAGAAUUCUGCAGUGAGCUAUUUGUAAAGAAUGCAUUGAGACUGCAGCAUAACAGUUGAAAUGGCAACUACUUGUUGAUUGAAAUACAACUCUUAGUUGCUCAUGUUUAGUCAUCAGAAAUUGUGAUAUUUAUAAUAAUAACGAUAGCCGUACUACUAGGUAAGAUUCGCAAAUGAAAUUUUAUUUGUUCUGAUUGUAUUAUUUUGACUCCAGUUUGUUCAAUUUGUACAUAAACUUUCAUUUUAGUUUAAUAUCGUAGUCGUUUAUAUUUAUGAUUUCAGUUGAACAAAUUCUAAAAACAAAUGUGACAUUUCAGGUGAAAAUGUUUUCCAGUAAAAAUUGGUAGACAUGAUUUGGAAAUGUGUACAGAAAAAUAAUCAUUGUACGUUGUAUGAAUCCGAUUUACACGUCCUAAUUAAUUUAAUAAUAUUAGGCUUUAAAAUAUUCAAUGAGUUUAAUUAUUUUAAAUUUAAGUUGAAAGUGUGAUUAGUUACAGUAUUGUAGCUUUAUUUUUUAUACCUGCCUUGAGUCGAUUAUAUAUUGUAUAAUUGUAUAAGUUUUGUUGAUAUAUGCUUGCAAAAUGAUGUUUUGAUUAGAAUGUUUCUCAUUCUUGUCACUAGUUAAAUUAAUAUAUUCAAAAGCUUUAAUCAUCAAAUGACGAUAAUUUUAAGUAUACAAUUAUGGAGAAAUUGAUAAUGAAUGAGAGUCUGAAUCUGAUAGCUGAAAUACAAUUCAAGAUUGCUCAAGAAACUGAAGGGAGUUCAUUUAUUGGAAAUUAUAUCAAAUUAAUGCAAUUUUUACACCUCACUUAAGUUUUUGAAAAUGCAAUAGUUACAAUAAUGAUAUUAUAAAAAUGAUUGGUAAUUUUGAAUAGUACCGUACCUAUUCAUUCGAUUUAUCAAUACACUUGAUACUGAUUGAUAAAACAUUAAAAAAACAAUAUACAGUAUAGAAAGUAAAAGAAUAAGAAUGACAAUUAUUUGAGCAGUUCAGUUGAAAUCAGACUCAGUUUCAGUUGGUACUUAUACAUUGAACACCUAUAAAAAUAUUUUCAAAUUCCUUUUUAUUGGGCAAAUAAUGUGCCUUUUCAAUAGUUACCAAUUAUCAAUUGUCUUUCUAUUUUUUAAUCCAUACAUUAUUAUCUAUAAAAAGUUUACCGGAGGUUCUAAGAUUAGUUAUUGAAUUCUUCAUCCAUAGGUGCAGAUUCUUUUCGAGCAAUAUUUUCUUUCUAUAAAAUUAUAAUAUGAAUAUCUUCUGUUCUAUGUGAACAUCUCCGUAUGUAAUAGCUCUCAUCCAAUUAUUGUAAUAAUUCUAGUAAUAAUUAUUAUUAAAAACAAUACUUCUCAUGUACAGUAAUCAAAAAUAUGAAUUUUCAAAUUUUUCAAAGAGUAGAUAACAAAUUUCUUCAGUAAUAAUUGUGAACUUUGAAUCCUAUGGAGACUCCAAAAUACUUUUUUCAAAGAGACAGCUUUAUAUUUUGCAUGCUGAUGCCAAUGUUUAAAAUAAUAUUGUAUAUUUAUUUUUGUGUACUUGGAAGCUUAAUAAUUAUUAUAUCCGAAAUAAAGUGCCUCAGAAAAAUGUUGCUGGAAAAUAAUAAAAUACGUAUACCGGUAUUCAGUGCUGGAGAAUACACUGAGUUUAUGGAGAUUGUUUAGGGUCCUAUAAAUAUAUUAGUCACUUGUGACUUCCAUUUUAUAACAUAAUCUUUGGGUAAUAAUUGCAUGUUAUUAUUGAUGAAGCAAUGUCUACAAUGAUAAUUAUUAUCUUACCAAUUUCUAAUUAAUAUUUGAACAAAAAGCGGUACUUGUAUGAUAUUGAACAGUAUUUAUAAAUUGAGUAAAACUUUAAUAAUGCAAUAUUAUACCGAAGCAUGGCUGCUGAAUUUAGUGUUGAUAAAUACACUAUAGUAUAGAUGAAACUAGUGUUUCGACAGUAUAGUCUUUCAUGACUCAUGUUGUAAGUUUUUCAAAUAUUAAAUCGGGAAGUUUACUCAAAAGGUUUUUGAUCUUCUGUACUGUACAAUAAGUUCUGGAAUAAUAAUAACAAUUUUCAACUAAGAUAAAUCCAUCUGCUCAUUGAAAUUAAGGCUAAAGAUCCUCGUAAUUCUUUAUGAUAAAAGUUUAAAAUUCAUCAACAGAUAGGAAAUGUGAAAAAUUCCAUUUUUUUAAUCCUAGGAAUGUUAUUCUAUUAAAAUCAAUCGCAAAGCAAGAAAUACGAUAAGCCACUCAAUAGUACUGUAAUAAUUAUUAAAAAUGUCCAUGUUUUAGAACUCUGUAUCACAAUUUGUCUUAUUAUUUAAGCAAUUAUUAGUAUUUGACACUGCCUUGAAAUUCUGUUCUCAUGGAAUCUAUGGGAAAGAGAUCAAUUGCUUAGGGUGAAGACUUCAGAGUUUUCUUCGUGAGCCCAUGUUCAAUUU
rnacentral:misc_RNA from 1 species